UACAAACAAAGAUGUGUGUCCGCCGAUAACUAAAAAAUAAAUAUUAAAAAUUCUCUCUCUCUCUCUCUCCCUCCCUCUCUCACUCUCUCUUUAAAAAAAAAAAUUACCUGUUUUCUGUCACUUCAUGGCUAAACCUAUAUACUCAUCCCUGCUGCGUUCCUCGACACUAAAACACUCAGGAUCACUCCAGGGGAACUGGGCUGCAUGAAAUAACCACACAAGAGACAGAGAUACCUUUUUCUUUAGGGGUCCUGUGACGGCUCCUCUGACCUUAAGGGUCCACAGAAAGAGAGAGAGAGAGAGAGAGCCAACACAUGCUGACCCUUUUAUUGAGAAGAAGCCAUUCAAAUGAGGCCAGGGGUCAGGUUUCAGGGGGCUGAGUCUAACUUCAUGAUGUCUGCUGUCAGCAGGUUGACUGACAUCUAGGAAGGCCACACCCAAAGGCAGAACAAGAGAAGGGGACACACAAAGGGUAUUUCCAUGGAACAUUCUAUCCCAAACAGGGCAAGGGAGUAAUAUCACAAAGGGACACCCCUGGGGUUGCAGGAAGGCACGCCUAUGCAUGAAGACACAUUCUGCUAUUUCGAGGAUCGGGGGGCAGUGUCUGGGGCCACUAUGAAUGUGGCCAGAUCACUAUGAAAAUGACCCACAGAGCCUCCACUGAUCACGAGAAGAAAUGCUGGUCACUCAGCGCGACGGCCCUCCCACAUCCCAUUUUCUGUUGAUGUUGGAACUUGAAUUAUGCAUCUUAUCCUUUUAUCUUUCUUUUUGUUCUACUCUUUGGUCAAGCUCAUUAACCUUACCCUUUCUAUUGAAUUUUUGAAUUUUAUUUUUUUUUAUAUUUAUUUUUUAGUUAUAGGUGGACACAAUAUCUUUAUUUCAUUUUUAUGUGGUGCUGAGGAACGAACCCAGUACCUCAUGCAUGGUAGGCGAGUGCUCUACCUCUGAGCCACAACCCCAGCCCCAUGAGUUUUUGAAUUUUAAUGUUUAAAUUUUAAAUUGUUGUCACUGUUUCUAUUGUGUGUGUGAGAGAGAGAGUGUGUGUGUGUGUAUAGCAUUGUCCUCUUGUUUUGUGUACAUAUUCUCUUAGCUCUCUUAGGGAGAGGAAGGGAGAAAAAAAUGAAUUGAUAGAGUCUGUUAGGUUUCACUACAUGAACUAUAUUUUUUCUGUUUUUUUUUCUGUUUUUCACACUGUUUCCCCUGAUUUUGCCUCCCCUUUUUUUUCUUUUGAAGUGUAUGUAUGCUGUUGGAGAUUUUCUUCAACAGCUUGCUUUUCAUAUUUGAUACUGAGACAUUAAGCAGAGCUAAUUGGAAACUAUUCACAUAGAUGGGGCAUGUCGAUUGAUGGGCUUCACCCUAUUGUGGGUGACUGGGACAAGCAGAAUUUUUUUCUGGGUACCCCCAAGUGUCAGAAUGUGUAGAUCAUAUUGUAGGGACUAUUUGGUUUCUCCAGAGAAUUUUCCAGUUACCUGCAUGGGGGAAUACUUAUGGGGCCACAAUGUUGAGAUUGUAGCAAUAGGGAAGGGGGUAUAGGGCUGUAGAUGUAGAUGUAGUAAGAUAUAUACAUUUUAUCGCAGUUUUUAUGUUUUCAGCUCAAUGGUAAAAAAAAGUUGGGGAGGGGAUUUGUGAAUUUAAUUGUUUUUUUGGUACUGGGAAUUGAAUCCAGGUCACUUAAUCACUGAGCCAUAUCCCCAUCCCUUUUUAUUUUUUAUUUUGAGACAGGAUCUCACUUAAUUGCUGAGGCUGGCCUUGAACUUUUGAUCCUCCUGCCUCAGCCUCCCGAGAUGCUGGGAUUACAGGCAUGUACCACUGCGCCCACAUUUAAUUGCUUUAUGUACAGACUUCUAAACAGUUUUUCUGCUUCCAGCUCAUUGUCCUUGUUCUAUCAGAGGUGUCUGGUCUCUCCAGGUCCUGAACAUUGGUGAAAGAUGACUGUUAUAUUUUUUGCAUACAUUCUCCUCUUUAGGCAUUUGAGUGUGUGUGUGUGUGUGUGUGUGUGUGUGUGUGUGUGUGUUGCUGGGGAUUGAACCCAGAGUCUUGUGCAUGCAAGGCAAGCACUCUACCAACUAAGCCAUAUCCCCAGGCUCUCUUUAGGCAUUGGAGUCUUCUACUGGGCUAUUAGUUCCAUUCCAUCUUCCAAAGCUGGUUGACAUCUCUAAUCCACCUCAUUGUUUUGUGGGUUUAUAACAUUUUUCUUUCUUUUUUUUUAAUAUUUAGUUUUUAGUUGUAGUUGGACACAAUACCUUUAGUUUGUUUAUUUAUUUUUAUGUGGUGCUAAGGAUCAAACCCAGGGUCUCGCACGUGCGAGGCGAGUGCUCUACCGCUGAGCCACAACCCCAGCCUCAUUUUUAUUUCUUUAUUUUCAUCUAACUGGGGUUUAGAGAUAAAUACAUGAAUGUAUUCAGUCUGCCACAUUGCAGAACCUUGCUUUUCCUCUUAAUGAUUUUUCCUAUGUGAGAAUAGUUAACAUAGUAAACAAGUCACUGUACUAUUGUGUCAGGGUCUCAUUAAGUUAUGUAGUGCCUCACUAAAUUGCUGAGGCUGGCUUUGAACUUGUGAUCCUUCUGCCUCAACCUCCUGAUCUGCUGGGAUAACAGGUGUGAGGAACCAUGCCUGGUUGUUAUUGUUUUUUGAGACUGGGUCUCACUUUGUAGCCCAAUCUGGCCUCCAAUACCCACACUUGAGAAAUCUUCUACCUCAGUCUCCCCAAUAGCUGGAACUACAGGCAUACCACCUUUUGAAUGUUUUCAUUUAGAUGGAAAAAUAAAAAGAUUAAAACAAUGAAGCUGGGAGCAAUGACACAUGCCUAUAAUCCCAGUGGCUCAGGAGGCUGAUGCAGGAGAAUCACAAGUUUGAGACCAGCCUCAGCAACCUAGUGAUACCCUGUCUCAAAAUAAAAAAUAAAAAUGGUUGGGGAUGUGGCUCAAUGGUAAAGUACCCCUGGGCUCAAUCCCCAGUACCACAAACAAAAAAUUGCUUUUGUUGGCUCAGGAUAUACUCAAGGGUUUACUAGUUGGAUGAGAUUGUUAACAUUUAUUUAUUUAGGAGCUGGGAUGGAACCCAGGGCCUUGCAUAUAUGCUAAACACACUCCACCAUGGAGGUACCCUCAGCUCCUGUUAACUCUUUUAAUCUACACAAGUCUACCUCUUGUCAUGUUUUUAACAGUUUGACUUUUUUCAGGAAUCCAGGCAUUUUUUUCUCUCUCUCUCUUUGGUUCCAGGGAUUGAGUAUGUCCAGGGCUUGUAUGUAACAAGGUAAAUGCUCUACCACUGAACUAUACCAUCCAGGUCCCCUCCCUUUAAAAAAAAAAUUGUAUAGGGUCUCCCUAGGUUGCCCAGGCUGACCUUGAACUUGAGAUCUUCCUGUCUCAGCCUCCUGAAACGCUGGGGUUACAGGCACGCAGCCUCAUGCCCAGCCCAGGCCAGUUCCACCUUCUGGAUUUAUCUGAGUGGGUUCUGAGGAUGGCAGGUGGUUCCAUCUUCUACCUGCUGCAAUUCCUGUAGUUUUUCAACUGAAAGUUGGAGUUCAGGAUCCUCAUUUUUCUUUCUCUGUCACUUUCCUCUUUGAUUCAGUUUCCUCCUGUAGUUGUUUGUUACUAUAAAGUAAAUUCCAUGGAGCAGCAGCAAGUGUCUGUGGGGACCUGUUCUGGCCUGCUGAAUGAACAGCACAUAGUAGGCACUCAGGAUGUAUUUGUGGAAUGAAUGAAUCCUUCACAUUCAGUGGCUUUAGUAGUCUUAGUAUCAUUUAACAUCUAUUGAAAAAAAAUCACUGUAAUAAUUUACCCUGUUUCUGAGAAUGCCUCUUGUUUUCAAAGGCCUCAAAGUCUGAAAAUGUCUUUAUUCCACACUUGAACUUGAGGUUUGUCCAGGCCCAGGAUUUGCUCUCUACUAUGUGGCAGACUGAAGGCGCUCUUUGUUUCCUUCCUUCCAGUGCAGCCACUGGAGUCCAGAUCUAUUUUUAUGCCGGAACCAGUUGCAGGGCUGGCCUUUAUGUGGAUGUGGCCUCUUUUUUUCUCUCUAUCUCCACUCUUUCUGCCUUUUCCUUGGUGAGAAGUUGAAUGCUUUCUCCUUCUUCAGUUCCCAUAGAUGGACAAUAGAGAUACUAAGAAUAUAUGAAGUUGUAAAGAUAAACUCCAUAUAGCUCAAGCCUAGUAGCAGAAUUAAAAAAAUUUUUUUUUUUUUAGUAGAUGGACAAAAUAUCUUUAUUUUAUUUUUUAUUUAUAUGUGGUGCUGAGGAUCGAACCCAGUGCCUCACACUUGCUAGGCAAGCGCUCUACCACUGAGCCACGACCCCAGCCCAGGAUCUUUUUGAUGAAUGAUAAUAAAAGCUAAUAUUUCCUAAACUCUUGUCAUAAUCAGAGUAUUUAAUAGGUACCAUGAUAGAACACUUUACCUGUUCUUUAUCAUUUAAUCUUUCCUACAGCUUUUUGCAGUAAGAACCAUUAGUCUGGGGCUGGGGUUCUGGCUCAUUGGUAGAGCGCUUGCCUAGCAUGUGUGAGGCCCUGGGUUUGAGCCUUAGCACUCCAUAAAAAAUAAAUAUAUAAAAUAAAGGUAUUAUGUCCAACUACAACUAAAAAAUAAAUAUUAAGAAAAAAAGAACCAUUAUCUAUCAAGCGCACCAACUAGAAACUGCAAGAGCCAGGCCAUCCCAGAGAGCCUCACCCCAGAGCACCCGAAAAGCUCUCUGUUGAACUGCUGCCCCCAUUCCUUCUAGACCAACCCCAGAAAUCAGUUUCCCAGGCUGCCAAAGCAAGCUCUGCUGUGCUGCUUGGGGGAAGAGGGGGAGAUGAGGUUGAGUCACAACCUUCCAUUCAUUUGGUGAAUGCUUUGUGGCAAGUUUUUAAGAAUACAAAUUCUAAAACAAUUAUGUUUAUUUUCUUCCCCAGGUCUGUGCCUCCCAGAGAGGAUGGCUUCCAGCCUCCUUUCUUGACUCUUCAGCUGAGGAAUUAUUCUCUCUCAUAAGAGGCUUGCAUGGACACAAGGGCAAGGUUCAGGCAGUUCCCCGUGUGUGAAAACCUCUCAGACUGGCACGUUGUAUAAAUUAUGACCCAAAUCAUCAGAUUUCUGUUCUUUGUCUGAAUGACAUUUUCACCUGGGAAAUCAUGCAUUCCAUGGAGGCCACAGAAAGACAAGUGAAUGUCAAGGCUCUGUGACAAAUGCCAGCCACCUGUAAGUGCAUAUUUUCAACUAUCUAGGUAGUUAGAGUUUUAAAUAUAACAUCUUUUUAUGCUAAAAUGAACCAAAAUGCACACAUUCCAGGGAACUUAAGGCUUUUUUUUUUUUUUUGGUGCUAGGGAUUGAACUCAGGGGUACUCAAUCACUGAGCCACAUCCUCAGCCCUAUUUUGUAUUUUAUUUAGAGACAGGGUCUCACUGAGUUGUUUAGCGCCUUGCCUUUGCUGAGGUGGGCUUUGAAUUUUCAACCCUCCUGCCUUAACCUCCUGAGCCACUGGGAUUACAGGCAUGUGCCACUAUGCUUGGCAAGUUGAGGGCUUUCAAUUGAUUUCUUUGGCUGGGUGUUGGGGAGUACUGGGUAUAGAACCCAGGGGCAUUUUACCACUGAGCUAUAUCCCCAGCCCUUUUUUAUUUUUGUUUUUGUUUUGAGACAGAAUCUCACUAAACUGCCCAGGAUGGCCUUGAACUUUUGAUCCCCUGCCUUAGCCUCCAGAGUUCUUGCUGGGAUUACAGGCGAGUAUUGCAGCACCUGCUCUUUUAAGUGAUUUUUAUGGGCCUUUUUUUUUUUUUUUUGUAUUCUUUCUUUCUUUAAAAUAUUUAUUUAUUUAUUUUAGUUGUAGUUGGACACAAUACCUUUAUUUUUUUAAUAUAUAUUUAUUUAUUUAUUUUUUAGUUUUCGGCGGACACAACAUCUUUGUUUAUAUGUGGUGCUGAAGAUCGAACCCUGGGCCACACGCAUGCCAGGCGAGCGCGCUACCGCUUGAGCCACAUCCCCAGUCCUAUUUUAUUUAUUUUUAUGUGGUGCUAAGGAUCAAACCCAGGGCCUUACACACACUAGGCGAGUGCUCUACCACUGAGCCACAACCUCAGCCCCUCCUAUUCUUUGUGGCAAGUAUAUUCCCAAAGAUCCCAAUUUCUUGCAACAGGAUAUAUUAAAAGUGAUGUUAUCUUUGACCUUGUUACAAUGCCUUUAUUAAUUUAUUUAGCAAACACCAAGAACUUAACUGUGUGCCAGCUAGAAAUUUUUUUAAAAAAUGUGUAAGGCAGCUGGGUUCACUGUCACACACCUGUAAUGUCUCAGCAAAUUGGAGGGCUGAGGCAAGAGGAUCAUGAGUUCAAAGCCAGCCUCAGCAGUUUAGUGAGGCCCUAAGUACCUCAGCAAGACCCUGUCUCUAAAUAAAAUAUAAAAAAGGACUAGAUAUGUGGCUCAGUGGUUAAGCACCCCUGGGUUUAAUCCCUGGUACAAAAAAAAAAGAAAGAAAGGCCAGGUUCUUGUCCUUGUUCUCCUAUUUUUUUUUCCUGGUGCUGAGGAUUGAACCCAGGGCUUUGUGCAUGUGAGACAAGCACUCUACCAACUGAGCUGUAUCCCCAGCCCCUACCUCGUGUUUGGCAGAUGUCAGCAAGUGGACUACAGGGCAUUUUGAGAUGGGCGAAAGGGCACUAUGCACUAGGUGUGGAGAGAUGCAGGGGAGUGAGGGCUCUACCGCAGGGGCUGGUUAGGGGGACAAUCAGAGAAGCCUUCAUGGUGGAAAUCACUGUUUUGGU
rnacentral:lncRNA from 1 species